AUGAUUUCCUUCUUAAGGCCUUUCCUUGUUUUGGUUUCGUUUAUUUAGCUUGGUGACAACAUGUUCAAAAGACGAAGAAGGAAAGCUCCAGCCCAAUGAAUACAUUUAUGAACAUUUGAAGUAUGUUAAGCUUGCUGGAUUUUAUGGAACCCCAAACCAAAUUGAGUUUGCUAAAUAUUUGUUGAAGAAUGCUUUAAUCCUUGAGAGAUUGGUCAUCAAGCAAGAAGAAGCUUUUGUCAGGAAAAGGCCAUCAUGGGAUGAAGGAGAACGCCAAAUGGUUAUCGAGACGCUGCAAGAAUUUUCCAAAGAAGUAAUGCUAAUUGUCAAGUAAGCAUUUAGUGACAAUUCAAUUGUUCUCUAGUGUUAUGUGUAACCAAAGUUUCUUUGAAAUAUGCAAGACAAAAUUGUCACUCAAAUUAGCUGAAGUCUAACCGAAUAUAAUGUCAAUGGUGGGAGAAAAUCAAAUUGGAUUCUGAAAUUUAUGCUUUUGUCAGCUGAGAACUCUAAUUUUCAUUUUAAUAAUUAUCUCUCCUUUCAUUUUUUUGCCAAUUAGAGAACAGGUUGAACAAACUAUGUAGUUCUUAAUGAUAUUUUUAAUUCUUAA